CGGGUGAGUAAUACAUAAGUAACCUGCCCUAGACAGGGGGAUAACUAUUGGAAACGAUAGCUAAGACCGCAUAGGUACGGACACCGCAUGGUGACCGUAUUAAAAGUGCCUCAAAGCACUGGUAGAGGAUGGACUUAUGGCGCAUUAGCUGGUUGGCGGGGUAACGGCCCACCAAGGCGACGAUGCGUAGCCGACCUGAGAGGGUGACCGGCCACACUGGGACUGAGACACGGCCCAG
rnacentral:rRNA from 1 species